AAUGAACGCUGGCGGCAGGCUUAACACAUGCAAGUCGAGCGAGCGGCGGACGGGUGGGUAAUGUCUGGGACCGUGCCUGAUGGAGGGGGAUAACUCCUGGAAACGGUAGCUAAUACCGCAUACCAUCAGCUGUGCCCAGAUGGGAUUAGCUAGUGGGUGGGGUAAUGGCUGACCUAGGCGAAGAUCCCUAGCUGGUCUGAGAGGAUGACCAGCCACACGGUAACUGAGACACGGUCCAGACUCCGACGGGAGGCCGCAGUGGGGAAUAUUGCACAAUGGGCGCAAGCCUGAUACAGCAAUGCCGAGUGUGUGAAGAAGGCCUUCGGGUUGUAAAGCACUUUCAGCGAGGAGGCGUUACUCGCAGAAGAAGCACCGGCUAACUCCGUGCCAGCAGCCGCGGUAAUAC
rnacentral:rRNA from 1 species